UACGUAGGGGGCUAGCGUUGUCCGGAAUCAUUGGGCGUAAAGCGCGUGUAGGCGGUCCGGUAAGUCCGCUGUGAAAGUCGGGGGCUCAACCCUCGAAUGCCGGUGGAUACUGCCGGGCUCGAGUCCGGAAGAGGCGAGUGGAAUUCCUGGUGUAGCGGUGGAAUGCGCAGAUAUCAGGAGGAACACCGAUAGCGAAGGCAGCUCGCUGGGACGGUACUGACGCUAAGGCGCGAAAGCGUGGGGAGCGAACAGG
rnacentral:rRNA from 1 species